CAGGGUCUGCUAAGUGCCUGCAGCCUAUUGCUGACGUGUUUUCCCAUGUUCUCUCCCAGGAUGUGUGCAGUGAGUGCCCUCCUGGCCCACCAGGACUGCCAGGCAUCCCAGGUUUCAAAGGGGAUAAAGGUCUCCGAGGACCACCAGGGAGAGAUGGCCAGGAUGGGAAAACGGGGAUUGCUGGUCCCAGAGGUCCUCCAGGCCCACCUGGGCUCGAUGGCCCAAAGGGUGCUAAAGGAGACCGUGGCAUGACUGGGGAAGUAGGAGAAAAAGGUGAACAGGGCCACCCUGGAAUGCCUGGCUUCUCAGGGGCUCCUGGAAACCCGGGUCCACCUGGAUCAGAUGGGGCACCAGGACCAAUAGGACCAGCCGGAAACCCAGGAGACAUGGGCAAAGAUGGUCCCCCAGGUCCACAGGGCCCACCAGGGCUGCCUGGACUUCCAGGCAUUGCUGGGAAUGAUGGCAAAGAUGGCAAACCAGGAUCUCUGGGGGAGCCGGUAAUGUAAUUUAAAACUGUUUUGCUCGGUCAAUCAGAAGCUGCAUCCAGUUGUUGUUUUUGAAGCUGCCUAUCUAUGGACUCCUCAGGGGGAACAAGGAGCCUGUUUGCACAUCUGUUUUUAACACCAGAAAAACUGUAUUGUCUUGAGCGAUUUAUAGGCAUGACACAUGAGCAAUCUUGAAAAGAAACUGUGUUCUUUUACUUUUACAACUACCAUAAAUACACUAAAACUUAGUGACUCCACUUUUACAGCUGUCUUAAACACUGCAGAGAAAGAAGGUUGCCUUGUAACAUUAAGCCUAGUGAUCCAUCCUUUUGAUAGAAGUUUAUGGGGCAUAAAAAGUUUAGAGGAGUCUUUAAAGAAGCUUUUUUCUGGAUUGCUCUGAGACAGUUCUG
rnacentral:lncRNA from 1 species